rnacentral:rRNA from 1 species
GGAGCGGGGGAUAACAUUUGGAAACAGAUGCUAAUACCGCAUAACAACAAAAGCCACAUGGCUUUUGUUUGAAAGAUGGCUUUGGCUAUCACUCUGGGAUGGACCUGCGGUGCAUUAGCUAGUUGGUAAGGUAACGGCUUACCAAGGCGAUGAUGCAUAGCCGAGUUGAGAGACUGAUCGGCCACAAUGGAACUGAGACACGGUCCAUACUCCUACGGGAGGCAGCAGUAGGGAAUCUUCCACAAUGGGCGCAAGCCUGAUGGAGCAACACCGCGUGAGUGAAGAAGGGUUUCGGCUCGUAAAGCUCUGUUGUUGGAGAAGAACGUGCGUGAGAGUAACUGUUCACGCAGUGACGGUAUCCAACCAGAAAGUCACGGCUAACUACGUGCCAGCAGCCGCGGUAAUACGUAGGUGGCAAGCGUUAUCCGGAUUUAUUGGGCGUAAAGCGAGCGCAGGCGGUUGCUUAGGUCUGAUGUGAAAGCCUUCGGCUUAACCGAAGAAGUGCAUCGGAAACCGGGCGACUUGAGUGCAGAAGAGGACAGUGGAACUCCAUGUGUAGCGGUGGAAUGCGUAGAUAUAUGGAAGAACACCAGUGGCGAAGGCGGCUGUCUGGUCUGCAACUGACGCUGAGGCUCGAAAGCAUGGGUAGCGAACAGGAUUAGAUACCCUGGUAGUCCAUGCCGUAAACGAUGAGUGCUAGGUGUUGGAGGGUUUCCGCCCUUCAGUGCCGGAGCUAACGCAUUAAGCACUCCGCCUGGGGAGUACGACCGCAAGGUUGAAACUCAAAGGAAUUGACGGGGGCCCGCACAAGCGGUGGAGCAUGUGGUUUAAUUCGAAGCUACGCGAAGAACCUUACCAGGUCUUGACAUCUUGCGCUAACCUUAGAGAUAAGGCGUUCCCUUCGGGGACGCAAUGACAGGUGGUGCAUGGUCGUCGUCAGCUCGUGUCGUGAGAUGUUGGGUUAAGUCCCGCAACGAGCGCAACCCUUGUUACUAGUUGCCAGCAUUAAGUUGGGCACUCUAGUGAGACUGCCGGUGACAAACCGGAGGAAGGUGGGGACGACGUCAGAUCAUCAUGCCCCUUAUGACCUGGGCUACACACGUGCUACAAUGGACGGUACAACGAGUUGCAAACUCGCGAGAGCAAGCUAAUCUCUUAAAGCCGUUCUCAGUUCGGACUGUAGGCUGCAACUCGCCUACACGAAGUCGGAAUCGCUAGUAAUCGCGGAUCAGCAUGCCGCGGUGAAUACGUUCCCGGGCCUUGUACACACCGCCCGUCACACCAUGGGAGUUUGUAACGCCCAAAGUCGGUGGCCUAACCUUUAUGGAGGGAGCCGCCUAAGGCGGGACAGAUGACUGGGGUGAAGUCGUAACAAGGUAGCCGUAGGAGAACCUGCGGCUGGAUCACCUCCUUUCUAAGGAA